AGUGAACGCUGGCGGUAGGCCUAACACAUGCAAGUCGAACGGCAGCACAGUAAGAGCUUGCUCUUACGGGUGGCGAGUGGCGGACGGGUGAGGAAUACAUCGGAAUCUACUUUUUCGUGGGGGAUAACGUAGGGAAACUUACGCUAAUACCGCAUACGACCUACGGGUGAAAGCAGGGGAUCUUCGGACCUUGCGCGAUUGAAUGAGCCGAUGUCGGAUUAGCUAGUUGGCGGGGUAAAGGCCCACCAAGGCGACGAUCCGUAGCUGGUCUGAGAGGAUGAUCAGCAACACUGGAACUGAGACACGGUCCAGAAUCCUACGGGAGGCAGCAGUGGGGAAUAUUGGACAAUGGGCGCAAGCCUGAUCCAGCCAUACCGCGUGGGUGAAGAAGGCCUUCGGGUUGUAAAGCCCUUUUGUUGGGAAAGAAAAGCAGCAGGUUAAUACCCCGCUGUUCUGACGGUACCCAAAGAAUAAGCACCGGCUAACUUCGUG
rnacentral:rRNA from 1 species